AGUUAAAAAGCUCGUAGUCGGAUUUCAGUAUUGGGCCCUUCUUCCAAUACGGUUGCUAGUGGUCUUUACUUCCUUAACAGAAUCUUUCAUCUCAUUAAUUUGGGGUGUUUGGGGCCUGUUUCUUUUACUUUGAGAAAAUUAGAGUGUUCAAAGCGGGUUUUCGCCUGGAUAUUACUCUUGGAAUAAUAAUAUAGGACUUUGGUUCUUUUUUGUUGGUGACUUAGAACCGAAGUAAUGAUUGAUAGGGACAGUUGGGGUCAUUCGUACUAUGAAGCGAGAGGUGAAAUUCAUGGACCUUUGUAUGACGAACCACUGCGAAAGCAUUUGACUAGGAUGUUCCCGUUGAUCAAGAACGAAAGUUGGGGGAUCGAAGACGAUCAGAUACCGUCGUAGUCUCAACCAUAAACUAUGCCAGCUAGGGAUUGGAGGAAGAUCAUUUUACGUCUCCUUCAGCACCUUAUGAGAAAUCAAAGCAUUUGGGUUCCGGGGGGAGUAUGGUCGCAAGGCUGAAGCUUAAAGGAAUUGACGGGAGGGCACCACCAGGAGUGGAGCCUGCGGCUUAAUUUGAUUCAACACGGGAAAACUUACCAGGUCCGGACAUGGGAAGGAUUGACAGAUUGAAAGCUCUUUCUUGAUUCUAUGGGU
rnacentral:rRNA from 1 species